rnacentral:rRNA from 1 species
GUAGGUGGCAAGCGUUGUCCGGAAUUAUUGGGCGUAAAGCGCGCGCAGGCGGUUCUUUAAGUCUGAUGUGAAAGCCCACGGCUCAACCGUGGAGGGUCAUUGGAAACUGGAGAACUUGAGUACAGAAGAGGCAAGCGGAAUUCCACGUGUAGCGGUGAAAUGCGUAGAGAUGUGGAGGAACACCAGUGGCGAAGGCGGCUUUCUGGUCUGUAACUGACGCUGAGGCGCGAAAGCGUGGGGAGCAAACAGGAUUAGAUACCCUGGUAGUCCACGCCGUAAACGAUGAGUGCUAAGUGUUAGGGGGGUUUCCGCCCCCCUUAGUGCUGCAGCUAACGCAUUAAGCACUCCGCCUGGGAGUACGGCCGCAAGGCUG